rnacentral:rRNA from 1 species
UAUGGCCAUAACACCAUGAACGUGCUUGGUGUCACCUGAUCUCAGAAGCUAAACAGGCUCUGCUUGAUUAAUACUUGGAUGGAAGAAAACAAGGUGUGCCCAUUU